rnacentral:misc_RNA from 1 species
CUUCGCAUAUAUUCCCUGGAGGAGGCAACUUUUGGUUCAGUUCUUGUAUCCCGAGCAAUCAGAGCUGCUCAUUGUUUGACUUCUAUCCAGUUUUCACCCACUUCUGAGCAUAUAUUGUUGGCUUACGGCCGACGUCAUGGAUCCCUUCUUAAAAGCAUCGUUAUUGAUGGGGAAACAACAUCUCCUAUUUACACAGUUUUAGAGGUUUACAGAGUUUCAGAUAUGGAACUGGUGAGAGUUCUUCCUAGUGCAGAGGACGAGGUCAAUGUUGCUUGCUUUCAUCCUUUUGCUGGGGGAGGUCUUGUUUAUGGAACUAAGGAAGGGAAACUUAGGGUCCUCCAAUAUGAUGGUGCUCGUGGUGUGAAUUGCACUGGACCAAAUUAUUCUCCAGAAGAUAACUUG